GCCAUCCUCAACCUAACCCACCUCCUUCCGCCGGCAGACGUCGUGGGCGAGCGAGCGAUGGCGUCAGCCGGAGCGAGGGAGCCCGCGGCGCCGUGACUGGCCGCCGACGGAGCCCAUCGAACUGAACCUCCCCGCGGCCCACCACUUCUUCCACCUUCCUUCUUCCGCAGCGAGUGGAUCGGCCGCACCGACCACCGGCCUCACCACCGCGCCGCCGCCCCAGCCACCGGCCCCCCACCGCGCCGCCGCCUCCCUCCCCGCGCGCAGCGCCGCCCGGCCUCAUCCUCCCUGCCCCCGCCUCCUCCCCUUCGCCAGCGCGCCUCCACCUCCCGGCCGCCGGCGCGGCUCCACCUCCUCGUCCCGGCCGGCCAGGUGAUGCGCGCGCAUCAGUUCGCGCGAGGCCCGGCCGCCAGGCACCCUUUCGCCAUCUGGCGCGACGCCAUGGGUAAAGCCAGAGAUGGAGCUAUUCCAGCACCGGCACCUGCGACGUCAGUCCACCGACGUGCUUGGCGCCGUCCACAACUCGAUCGCGCUCGAGCUUAUGCUCCAGAUCACCUUCUUCAAUGUUCCGGCCACGGUUCCCCACUGCCAACACGAGAUCCCAACCACUUCUUCUGUAAAAACUGAAGUUAUCUAGUUAGUAGUCCUCAUUUGCUUAAUUCUGCAGUUCUUUAGUUUACCAUUGCUUAAUUGCCAAGUGUACGGAUACAUUCUUGGUUUGUUUUAAGUCUGGUGAGUGAUUCCGUUCUUCGAGUUGUUGACCAUGUUGUAUCUGUUCCAGUCGGAUUAGCUCCUUCACCGGUUUCUGAAGAUGGGAAGUUCAGAGUUUGAGCAAGCGAAGGCACACUUGCACGUCGACUGUGCUCAGCCACCAGCAAUAACUUGGCAGAGGAAAUUCGAUGAUGAAGGCAAGAAGGUUGCUAUGCUUAGCAUGACCACUGAUAUCUUCACAGUUAUACCAUUGAUUUUUAAAAUGCUUCGAUUACACGUCGAAGGAAUCGCGAAAAACCAAGUUGCCGUCUAUGAUCCGCUCAGGAAAUGGAUGGACAACUGCUACCGCGGGGUACCCCUUGGCGGACUAGGUUCAGGAAGCAUAGGGAGAAGCUACCGAGGGUACUUUCAGCAGUUUCAAAUAUUCCCCAGGAUCUAUGAAGAGAAGCCUGUCCUUGCCAACCAGUUCUCAGCAUUCGUUUCGCAUCCUGGGGGGAAGAGCUACUCGACGGUGUUGAAACUGGUAUGCUGCUAUUUUUGUCAGGCUCGCCUUUUCGAUGCGCAAAAUGAUGAGGGAUAAAGCUCUGGUCAGGAGACUUUCUGCAUGCGAGACAAUGGGCAACAAGUUUUGAUUAUAUUGAUACCUAAUAAUAGCAUGUGCUCAUUUUUGAACUGAAACAAAAAGAGUCUCUCUAAUAAUAAAUGGGCUCUCUAAUAAUAAGUUCUAAGGAAAUAAAUAUAGAAGUUCAUAUUUCAAAACAAAUGAAGUAUUUUGGAAGUAAAAUAAACUAUUUCAAAGUACACAAAUUAUAUUUAGGUAUCUUUGUGUACUUCAACGUUACUGUACAUGAACUUGUACAUUUGCCUAUCCGUCAAACAGUUUGAGUUGCACUUUUUUUUUGCCAUAUUUGAUCUAUCAUAUUUCUCUAGUUCCAUCUCGUUCGUGAGUUCUUUUGACCGAGAGCUAGUAAGAUCAAACAUGAAUUUACAUCAGUUCAAAAAACAGAUUGUUGGGAAAUAAGAUUAAGACCAGAAACAAGAAAGAUGUACAAAAAGAAAAUUAAAAACCGUUUCAUUUGGACCUAUAUAAGAAAACAAUUUGCUGAUCACUACGAAAUUUAAAUAAAAACUUGGAAAAGUUUGAAAAAAAUCACAUAAAAAGUUCGAACUCCAAAACCUGGCAAGUUCAUGGUAAAAACAAAAAAAAGGCAGAAAAGGUACAAUUUAUUUUUCAGUGUACCUAUAAUGUCCAGUUUUUCUUUCAGUUCAAUUCCUAGAUUUCAUUCAGUUCAAUUCUUAUGUAGGUACUUGGCGGUGGCAUUGCUUCACUUCCCUUGUUAUGCUCUCUUCGCCCAAGUUCCGAGAAUCAAGAAAACAAAUACUAGUGCUUGCAUGAAAAUGUACGAGCAAAAAAAACCCACAAAGGCCUUUGCGUAGAAACAUCACCUCCACACCCCCUCCAUUCAUGCGCAGUACAUGCUUCUCCUGCCGCCGCGCCGCCUGGAUCCAACGAGGCUGCGUCACACUGGCCCCGGAUCCGCCCGCUUCCAAUGAGGCUGCGUCACCCGCCGGCGCACCUCUGCCUCGCCGUGGGCAGUGGAUGCUUCUCCGCAGCUCAACCUCCUGGUAGCGGGUAGUUCGAUGCUCCCUGUCGCGCUACGAUCAGCGCUCCCUCGAGCUCAACAAGAAAUUCUUUCCGGCUGCGUCUGCACCUCUUAAAAGUUCACACACUCGAAGGAGGGAUCAUUGUUUCUUAUUGGAGAAGGCCUGAUGUUUAGUUGGUGUCUGUGUGGUACCUACACCAGCAUUUUCCAUCAAGACCUCCAGAAAGAGAGAUCAUCUCAAGGUGGUUCAAAUGUGUCGAGCGGCAGCAUCGCUUGAUCCCUAGUGGUUGCCCGCGCAAGGAGGAUACAGGGAUGCUACAGUGGUGGAGGAGUCAGUACAUGUAGUAGCUAGCUCAAGAAAAGCCAGCGGCCUGCUCUGGCCAUGCCGCACCACCACUGGCACGUCCACCAUGGUUGCUGGCAGCCGUCCAAGUUGAGCGCUGAUGGGAGUCCUUAGCGUGCUUCAACGACACUCUCUCAUAUCAAUCUCUCUUUCUUUGCUCCUGCUAUUAAAAUGUGUAGAUGUGCUGCUUUGCUAAUUGAGUAGUUGGGAAGAUGUGAAAAGAACAUGCUCUCUAGGAGGUUCAAAGAUUGUCGUGGAGCAAGUUCAAGAGAUUAGUUUGGUGAAAAUAAUGUGAUCUUUUGGUCAGGAUUUUGCAUGAUCCAUAGCCAUCAGGCGAGCAGUUCAAGGCCUACUACGCGAGUCGUCUAUCGUCUUCUACGCAUGAUGAGCUUGUUGUCUCUACACAUCUAGCAUCAGAGUAUCUCCUCCCCUUGCCGCACACACAUGCCUGCGGUCGAGCUAGUGUUGUUUGUGAUUGCUGGUCGUGACUCUUACGUUGUCAUUGGACAAAUAAUUUGUUCUGUAACUCUGUACUGAUGGGACCUUCAGCAUAUAUGGU